GGACAGAUGGCCGAGCGGUCCAAGGCGCCAGACUAAGGAGACCAAGCCAUCAGAUGGCUAGUAUAUCUGGUCUCUUCGGAGGCGUGAGUUCGAAUCUCACUCUGUUCA
rfam:Hydnomerulius pinastri MD-312 unplaced genomic scaffold scaffold_10, whole genome shotgun sequence.